rnacentral:rRNA from 1 species
UACGAGGGGGGGCGAGCGUUGUUCGGAAUUAUUGGGCGUAAAGGGUGCGCAGGCGGUUUGGUAAGUCUUGUGUGAAAUCUACAGGCUCAACUUGUAGUCUGCACGAGAAACUGCCGGGCUUGAGUAUGGGAGAGGUGAGUGGAAUUCCUGGUGUAGCGGUGAAAUGCGUAGAUAUCAGGAGGAACACCUGUGGCGAAAGCGGCUCACUGGACCAUAACUGACGCUGAUGCACGAAAGCUAGGGGAGCAAACAGG